rnacentral:rRNA from 1 species
GACGAACGCUGGCGGCGUGCUUAACACAUGCAAGUCGAGCGGAAAGGCCCUUUUGGGGUACUCGAGCGGCGAACGGGUGAGUAACACGUGAGUAAUCUGCCCUUCACUUUGGGAUAGCCACCGGAAACGGUGAUUAAUACCGGAUACGACGCACUCGGGCAUCCGAUGUGUGUGGAAACUUUUUGGGUGGGGGAUGUGCUCGCGGCCUAUCAGCUUGUUGGUGGGGUAAUGGCCUACCAAGGCUUUGACGGGUAGCCGGCCUGAGAGGGUGACCGGCCACACUGGGACUGAGACACGGCCCAGACUCCUACGGGAGGCAGCAGUGGGGAAUAUUGGACAAUGGGCGGAAGCCUGAUCCAGCAACGCCGCGUGAGGGAUGACGGCCUUCGGGUUGUAAACCUCUUUCAGCACCGACGAAGCGCAAGUGACGGUAGGUGCAGAAGAAGGACCGGCCAACUACGUGCCAGCCGCCGCUGUAAGAC